rnacentral:rRNA from 1 species
AAAUUGAAGAGUUUGAUCAUGGCUCAGAUUGAACGCUGGCGGCAGGCCUAACACAUGCAAGUCGAGCGGUAGCACAGAGAGCUUGCUCUCGGGUGACGAGCGGCGGACGGGUGAGUAAUGUCUGGGAAACUGCCUGAUGGAGGGGGAUAACUACUGGAAACGGUAGCUAAUACCGCAUAAUGUCGCAAGACCAAAGUGGGGGACCUUCGGGCCUCAUGCCAUCAGAUGUGCCCAGAUGGGAUUAGCUAGUAGGUGGGGUAACGGCUCACCUAGGCGACGAUCCCUAGCUGGUCUGAGAGGAUGACCAGCCACACUGGAACUGAGACACGGUCCAGACUCCUACGGGAGGCAGCAGUGGGGAAUAUUGCACAAUGGGCGCAAGCCUGAUGCAGCCAUGCCGCGUGUGUGAAGAAGGCCUUCGGGUUGUAAAGCACUUUCAGCGGGGAGGAAGGCGGUAAGGUUAAUAACCUCACCGAUUGACGUUACCCGCAGAAGAAGCACCGGCUAACUCCGUGCCAGCAGCCGCGGUAAUACGGAGGGUGCAAGCGUUAAUCGGAAUUACUGGGCGUAAAGCGCACGCAGGCGGUCUGUCAAGUCGGA